GUAAAGGAAGAUAAAGAAUCUUCCUCUUUUGUAAUGCUUAGUUAUUCUUUCCUUCCUUCCUAGUAUUGGUUGCGUUUGCCCCUUUCGAACAAGGGUGGCUCCUCCAUCGUCCGCCCAGUUGUGGAUUGCUCUCGCCUACCUCAAGGUUCAUGGGAAGGCUAUAAUUAUUGUUGAACUCCAUUACAAAAUAGGGAUGAGAGGCUUUUGAUGGGCAACUCAUUGGGCUCCAAAUGAGGCAGAUAUCAUAAAAGGCUCGAUUGGGACACCAAAGACACCCACCAGUACCGUCCUUAACCGAAUUUUGCGAUGUCAUAUGGCUUGCUUACUUUGAUUGGCCUGAGUUCUUGUGUUUUGUGGGUGAUGGAUCUAGCCAAACUCUGUUAUUUUCAGCUUUAUGUGGCUAAGGUUCUGCAAUGUUGUUGUCUUGGGGACCUCUACAACUUGACUCAACUUUUGGGGUGUUUGUUUGGGAAAGUAGUAGUUAUUUUUGCUGUGUUGUGUGUCAUUUGAUUUGGCUUAACGGAAUUUGAUCGCCGAUGAUGGUUUUGAGCAGUCCCUUGCAGCAUGCAUCUCUUGUUGCUAGUAGUUUGAUUAUUGGGUCGAUCUAGGAUUCUUAGCUAGUGCGCUGGUUUCUUUUUUUGGAUUGGUAGCUAUGUGUAAGAUUCCUUUUCUUUUAGACUUUGGUUGUAUUUUUAAGGGGUUUGGACCUUCUUUGAUUCUUCAUGUACUAGGCCUCAAGGAUUUUAAUGUAAUAUAUGAUUGUCUUUAACUAUA